AUUGAACGCUGGCGGCAGGCCUAACACAUGCAAGUCGAGCGAGCGGCGGACGGGUGAGUAAUGUCUGGGAAACUGACUGAUGGAGGGGGAUCACAACUGGAAACGGAAGCCAAUAACGCACACCAUCAGAUGUGUCAAGUUGGGAUUUGCUAGUGGGAGGGGUAAUGGCUCACCUAGGCGACGAUCCCUAGCUGGUCUGAGAGGAUGACCAGCAACACUGGAAGUGAGAAACGGUCCAGACUCCGACGGGAGGCAGCAGUGGGGAAUAUUGCACAAUGGGCGAAAGCCUGAUGCAGCCAGGCCGCGUGUGUGAAGAAGGCCUUCGGGUUGUAAAGCACUUUCAGCGGGGAGGCGUUACUCGCAGAAGAAGCACCGGCUAACUCCGUGCCAGCAGCCGCGGUAAUUC
rnacentral:rRNA from 1 species